rnacentral:sRNA from 1 species
AUGUACCACUCGUACACUGCAGUUCUUAGCGCGCCAUCCACGCCCACCUGACGACUGCUCGCUAGUUUUGUUAGCC